GACGAACGCUGGCGGCGUGCCUAAUACAUGCAAGUUGAGCGCUGAAGUGUGGUACUUGUACCUACUGGAUGAGCAGCGAACGGGUGAGUAACGCGUGGGGAAUCUGCCUUUGAGCGGGGGACAACAUUUGGAAACGAAUGCUAAUACCGCAUAAAAACUUUAAACACAAGUUUUAAGUUUGAAAGAUGCAAUUGCAUCACUCAAAGAUGAUCCCGCGUUGUAUUAGCUAGUUGGUGAGGUAAAGGCUCACCAAGGCGAUGAUACAUAGCCGACCUGAGAGGGUGAUCGGCCACAUUGGGACUGAGACACGGCACAAACUCCUACGGGAGGCAGCAGGAGGGGAUCUUCGGCAAUAGACGAAAGUCUGACCGAGCAACGCCGCGUGAGUGAAGAAGGUUUUCGGAUCGGAAAACUCUGUUGGUAGGGAAGAACGUUGGUGAGAGUGGAAAGCUCAUCAAGUGACGGUAACUACCCAGAAAGGGACGGCUAACUACGUG
rnacentral:rRNA from 1 species